CUCACAGGAAGCGCCUGAAAAACGAAAAAAAAGGAAAAGUGUGGGGAACCGAGGUCGUCUUGGGCUGUCGCCUCUCCCUCUCCGAGAAGGAAUGAAGAGGUUCUUGGAAAGCAGGGACGGGCGAUUCUCUCUGUCAGCAUCAGCUCCCACCAGCGAGGACGGGGCGAGAAAGCGAAACGGGGCUUUCCUUGCUGUCUAUUUUUUCUUCGUCAGGCCAACGCCGCCUGCUCACAGGGGCGCAGGCGAGUUCCCGCCAAAUGGCGCGGGGGCGCAAGCAGUUGCGUGAGUUGCCGCCAAAUAGCUCUGGAUGCCAGCUCGUUCCGUGUCUCUUGGUAGACUAGUUGGUGCAUUUCUGCUAUCAUGGACUGCGCAUAUAAACGCAAACUACACAAAAGUGACAUGGACAAGAACAGCGCAAGCCCUUUCCAUGCAGUGGAGCCGCCGUAUCUCGCCGUUCAAGAUAUGCGUACUCGAAGAAAAAAAAAAGAGGCUUUACAUGAGAACGGAUCAAGCGUUCGAGAGUUGGGACAGGGAAAUGUGAGACGUACUUUCAUGUAUAUAUUUCUAAUAUUAUUUUUUCGUCUUGUAUUCUCGUUAAUUUUUCUCUAGGAAACACUGGAACGACACUGCUUAAAUUGAAGCACAGUGUGCGAAUGACCUGCUACGCUCGGAACUGUUAUCACCAUUCGGGAAGAAAUUGGAUGAAAAAACAUAACUGUAAAUACCUGUAUGAUAUACGUCUGGUGCAUUGCAGGUAAGAAUGGAUUGUGUGUGGCGCGCUUCACCGCAUGUGGACUAGAGUAGAUCUAGGAACAUCAGACAAGAAGACACGUAUGUGAAACCCUGCGGAUAGCCCAUAUGUAAGUUCUUCCUCAAUUUUUCUUUUGUUGCAUUUUCGUAGUUUACGUGUAAUACUUUGUCACCGCGGUCUCGACGUUAUGUAUACCUAUACAUUUGUCUCGUGGCAGUCUGCGUGCUAUUUUUUUUGUGCAACUAUGUGUUGUAUUCAUUUAUCGCGCUGCCUGGAUGGUUUUUUUUUUCACUGAUAUUCCGACCAAAGUCGGUAAACCUAUCCUUCCUGUCCUCAUGUUUCCUUGGGCGGCUCUAAAGCGUAUCUUAGAGGAAUAUUUAGCUUCAGAUUCCCGCAUGGAACAGAUGGUGAACUUUUUUUCCAGAUACGGAGGAACGGACACCGGUCGUGCCGUGAGCACUAUUCUGCAGGGCAUACUUACAAAUGAAGCUGCACUGCAGUUCAGCUGGAAAGGGUCGCAGGGGAGGAAGCACGCCUUCGUGAAGCUCAUGGCCAUCACGAAUAUAACAUCUGUGAGGAGCACGUUCCCUGACGCUUCACUAGCAUCAAUGGCUGGAGUCGCAAAGCGCUGGUUGGUUGGAGCAGCUGACAGGGAUGGAGGCCGGAAUGAAAGAAGGCGCCGUGACCCUGCUUCAAGCCCACCAAAUAUGAACUAGUGUUUAAAACUUGUGAAUGUGUCGGUGUACAUAUACAAUUACA
rnacentral:lncRNA from 1 species